rnacentral:rRNA from 1 species
UUCCAGCUCCAAUAGCGUAUAUUAAAGUUGUUGCAGUUAAAAAGCUCGUAGUUGAACUUUGGGCCCGGUUGGCCGGUCCGAUUUUUCCGUGUACUGGAUUUCCAACGGGGCCUUUCCUUCUGGCUAACCUUGAGUCCUUGUGGCUCUUGGCGAACCGGGACUUUUACUUUGAAAAAAUUAGAGUGUUCAAAGCAGGCGUAUUGCUCGAAUAUAUUAGCAUGGAAUAAUAGAAUAGGACGUUUGGUUCUAUUUUGUUGGUUUCUAGGACCAUCGUAAUGAUUAAUAGGGACGGUCGGGGGCAUCAGUAUUCAAUUGUCAGAGAUGAAAUUCUUGGAUUUAUUGAAGACUAACUACUGCGAAAGCAUUUGCCAAGGACGUUUUCAUUG